rnacentral:misc_RNA from 1 species
GUUGUGAGUCUAACAUUUGGAAAGUGUUGUGAUCAGUUCUGCGAACGCGUUUCUCACUUGGUAAAACUUGUAAUGAAGAUCUGCAUAUUUUAAGAUUAAACUAAGUUCUGUUAAAAAAAUAAUUUUUAAAGUUCAUGAAUAAACCAGUUUUUUAUUAUCAGUUAUAGUUUCUUUUUUAAUUCCUGAUUAUUAGACUUAAUUAAUAGGCUGAUGUAUAUACGUAGUUAAUGGCUGAAUCACGUCCUACGGAAACGGUACAUGAAACAGUGACUGUCGAACAGUUUGUUGAUGACAAGCACAAUGAAGAUGAGGGUCAGGUGGUCAGACUUAAACUUAAGAAACCCAAGCCGGACAAAAAGGUGUCGUGGAGAAGUGAUACAGUGGACAAUGAGCAUUUAAACAAAAAGAAGUCUAAAUGCUGCUGUAUUUAUAAAAAGCCACAAAAAUUUGGGGAGAGUUCUUCAGAAUCUGAUGAUGAUGAAUGCCAGCAUUGCAGGGGACAUGUAGAAUUAAAGAAGAAACAAGUUCCAACAUCCUCAGGAACAGAAGGUAUAUAUCAGUUCUUAUCAGUCUAACAAUGCUGAUGAUAAGGACUGCCCUUAAUGAUGGCGUAUUGUGAUUGUUAGGAUUCUGGAAUUUUUCAGGGUCAGAUCAGAAAUCAUGAAGAAGCAACAUAAAUACUACAUUACAUGUAAACAUCUGUAACAUUUGUUAUUUGUAGAAAUAUAUUCAAGAUUAAGAAUAUUAAGUAGUAGACUACCUCUAUACUGGCAAAUUUAUAGCACAGCUGUUACUCGUUGGGUAACUUGUAAUUAAGAUAGCUUUUGUUGUAAUCCGGGCAAGAAGUGACUUUUCUGAAUUAUCUCAUCUCAAUGUAAUAUUUGUAUACUAGUAACAGAUCACUCAUGUAUUCAUAGAUAGAGGGUACUUUCUAUAUCAGCUUAUUUAAAAAUAGCUUUCGGUUAUGGUAUUAUUCUUCCAGAAGUAGAUAUUACAACUUUUAAAAAGUUGUAUUAUUACUAUAUUUGUUCCUUAUGAGAACCAUAAUUGUAAAUUAUAUGUGUAGUUUUUUAAUAAUAAUUAAAAUUGUGAAAAAGAUUUUUUUUGAAUUUUUAUUUAAAUAACAAUUUGCAAUAUAUCAGGAUUAUUAUUGUAAACCAAAACUAUCUGAAUAUAUGCAAACAGAUUGACUGUGUGUCAGUUGUAAUGAAUAAUUGUUUUUUUUUCUUUAUUUUUAUCACCCACACUAUCAGUUUAAGUUACUAUUCUUUUAUUGUAUCAUAAUUUCGAAAGAAUAAGUAUUUUGUACUUAACACUAUUAUUUUCCCUCUAUUAAUCAAAUGUAAUUCUUGAUGUAUUUCCAGUACUUGGUAUCUUUAUGCCUAAAUACGUGGAAGUUUAUUUUAUUAAAAAAGUCUAUAUUUACCCAUUGGUUUAUUUCUGUGAAUUUUUAAUAUGAAUUUCAGACCUUUAAAGCUGUAUGGGUGAGAACUAACAUUGCUCAAAACUGCAAAUUCACAACCGAUCAUAAUUUGGGUUAUCUUAGCUAGUGUGACUGUAUACAUUUUGAUUUCACAAAAGUGUUUAAUUAGAAAAAUGAUUUGUUUUGUAUUCACCUAGUCAGUAUUAUUGUAAGAAUUGCAGGACUAAUAAAUCAUGUAGGAUUAAUAAAUACAUAAAACAAGCGACUCAUACUCUGACUAUUUUUGAAAUGUAAGCCUUCGUUAAUAAGGAUAAACACCUCCGAUUUCAAAUCCAUUUGGUUUACAUGAUUUUUAUCGCAAAUGUUAGGUCUAUUGGUAGACCUUCCUUCUGGUAGUAAAUUAGUAUUUAUUGUCAUGUAA